CAGUCGCCGCGGUAAUACGAAGGGGGCUAGCGUUGCUCGGAAUUACUGGGCGUAAAGGGAGCGUAGGCGGACAUUUAAGUCAGGGGUGAAAUCCCAGAGCUCAACUCUGGAACUGCCUUUGAUACUGUCGAUCUGGAGUAUGGAAGAGGUGAGUGGAAUUCCGAGUGUAGAGGUGAAAUUCGUAGAUAUUCGGAGGAACACCAGUGGCGAAGGCGGCUCACUGGUCCAUUACUGACGCUGAGGUGCGAAAGCGUGGGGAGCAAACAGGAUUAGAUACCCGAGUAGUCCCUGUCUCUUAUAC
rnacentral:rRNA from 1 species